rnacentral:rRNA from 1 species
AGAGUUUGAUUCUGGCUCAGAAUGAACGCUGGCGGCGUGCUUAACACAUGCAAGUCGUACGAGAACGUCUUAGCUUGCUAAGAUUAGUAAAGUGGCGCACGGGUGAGUAACGCGUGGGUAAUCUACCUUCGAAUCGGGGAUAACAUUGCGAAAGCGAUGCUAAUACCGGAUAAUAUCUAUGAUUCUUCGGGAUUUUAGAUCAAAGAUGGCCUCUACUUGUAAGCUAUUGUUUGAAGAUGAGUCCGCGUCCCAUUAGCUUGUUGGUGGGGUAAUGGCCUACCAAGGCAACGAUGGGUAGCUGGUCUGAGAGGAUGAUCAGCCACACUGGAACUGACACACGGUCCAGACUCCUACGGGAGGCAGCAGUGAGGAAUUUUGCGCAAUGGGGGAAACCCUGACGCAGCAACGCCGCGUGAGUGAUGAAGGCUUUCGGGUCGUAAAGCUCUGUCAAGUGGGAAGAAACUAUAUGAGGCCAAUACCUUUAUAUACUGACGGUACCACUGAAGGAAGCACCGGCUAACUCCGUGCCAGCAGCCGCGGUAACACGGGGGGUGCAAGCGUUAUUCGGAUUCACUGGGCGUAAAGAGCGCGUAGGCGGCCAGGUAAGUCAGAUGUGAAAGCCCGGGGCUCAACCCUGGAAGUGCAUCUGAAACUGCUUGGCUUGAGUAUGGGAGAGGGUAGUGGAAUUCCUGGUGUAGAGGUGAAAUUCGUAGAUAUCAGGAGGAACACCGGUGGCGAAGGCGACUACCUGGACCAAUACUGACGCUGAGGCGCGAAGGCGUGGGGAGCAAACAGGAUAGAUACCCUGGUAGUCCACGCAGUAAACGUUGUUCACUAGGUGUAGCGGGUAUUGACCCCUGCUGUGCCGCAGCUAACGCAUUAAGUGAACCGCCUGGGAAGUACGGCCGCAAGGCUAAAACUCAAAGAAAUUGACGGGGGCCCGCACAAGCGGUGGAGCAUGUGGUUUAAUUCGACGCAACGCGAAGAACCUUACCUGGAUUUGACAUCCCGGGAAUUCUAUCGAAAGACUGAAGUGCCCUUCGGGGAACCCGGUGACAGGUGCUGCAUGGCUGUCGUCAGCUCGUGUCGUGAGAUGUUGGGUUAAGUCCCGCAACGAGCGCAACCCCUGUCUUUAGUUGCCAGCAUUAAGUUGGGGACUCUAAAGAUACCGCCCCGGUUAACGGGGAGGAAGGUGGGGAUGACGUCAAGUCCUCAUGGCCUUUAUGUCCAGGGCUACACACGUGCUACAAUGGGCUGUACAGAGGGUAGCGAUGCCGCGAGGUGGAGCCAAUCCCAAAAAGCAGUCCCAAGUUCGGAUUGGAGUCUGCAACUCGACUCCAUGAAGUUGGAAUCGCUAGUAAUCGCGGAUCAGCAUGCCGCGGUGAAUACGUUCCCGGGCCUUGUACACACCGCCCGUCACACCAUGAGAGUUGAUUGUACCGGAAGUUGUUGGGCCAACCUUUCGAGGAGGCAGGCACCUAUGGUAUGAUUGAUGAUUGGGGUGAAGUCGAAACAAGGUA